GAUGAACGCUGGCGGCGCGCCUAAUACAUGCAAGUCGAGCGAGAAGACGUAGCAAUACGUUUGUAAAGCGGCGAACGGGUGAGGAAUACAUGGGUAACCUACCCUCGAGUGGGGAAUAACUAGCCGAAAGGUUAGCUAAUACCGCGUACGCUCCUUGGACUUCGGUUCAGGGAGGAAAGCGAUACCGUGGGUAUCGCGCUCUUGGUUGGGCUCAUGUCCUAUCAGCUUGUUGGUGAGGAACGGCUCACCAAGGCUUCGACGGGUAGCUGGUCUGAGAGGACGAUCAGCCACACUGGCACUGCGACACGGGCCAGACUCCUACGGGAGGCAGCAGUAAGGAAUAUUGCGCAAUGGGCGAAAGCCUGACGCAGCGACGCCGCGUGGGGGAUGAAGGUCUUCGGAUUGUAAACCCCUUUCGGGAGGGAAGAUGGAACGAGCAAUCGUUCGGACGGUACCUCCAGAAGCAGCCACGGCUAACUUCGUGCCAGCAGCCGC
rnacentral:rRNA from 1 species